rnacentral:rRNA from 1 species
UACGUAGGGGGCAAGCGUUGUCCGGAAUCAUUGGGCGUAAAGCGCGUGUAGGCGGCCCGGUAAGUCCGCUGUGAAAGUCGGGGGCUCAACCCUCGAAUGCCGGUGGAUACUGUCGGGCUAGAGUGCGGGAGAGGCGAGUGGAAUUCCUGGUGUAGCGGUGAAAUGCGCAGAUAUCAGGAGGAACACCAAUUGCGAAGGCAGCUCGCUGGAACGUAACUGACGCUGAGAACGCGAAAGCGUGGGGAGCAAACACGG